UGGGGAAUAUUGCACAAUGGGCGCAAGCCUGAUGCAGCCAUGCCGCGUGUAUGAAGAAGGCCUUCGGGUUGUAAAGUACUUUCAGCGGGGAGGAAGGGAGUAAAGUUAAUACCUUUGCUCAUUGACGUUACCCGCAGAAGAAGCACCGGCUAACUCCGUGCCAGCAGCCGCGGUAAUACGGAGGGUGCAAGCGUUAAUCGGAAUUACUGGGCGUAAAGCGCACGCAGGCGGUUUGUUAAGUCAGAUGUGAAAUCCCCGGGCUCAACCUGGGAACUGCAUCUGAUAAUGGAAAGCUUGAGUCUCGUAGAGGGGGGUAGAAUUCCAGGUGUAGCGGUGAAAUGCGUAGAGAUCUGGAGGAAUACCGGUGGCGAAGGCGGCCCCCUGGACGAAGACUGACGCUCAGGUGCGAAAGCGUGGGGAGCAAACAGG
rnacentral:rRNA from 1 species